GAAAUGCGAUAAGUAAUGUGAAUUGCAGAAUUCAGUGAAUCAUCGAAUCUUUGAACGCACAUUGCGCCCGCCAGUAUUCUGGCGGGCAUGCCUGUUCGAGCGUCAUUUCAACCAUCAAGCCCCGGGCUUGUGUUGGGGACCCGCGGCUGCCGCAGGCCCUGAAAACCAGUGGCGGGCUCGCUGUCACACCGAGCGUAGUAGAUUCUCAUCUCGCUCAGGGCGUGCUGCGGGUUCCGGCCGUAAAACAGCCUUAUUUUACCCAAGGUUGACCUCGGAUCAGGUAGGAAGACCCGCUGAACUUAAGC
rnacentral:misc_RNA from 1 species